rnacentral:lncRNA from 1 species
AUUUCGCUUGCUCAUUUUAAUUGUAAUUUUCCUUUCGCGCAUACACACAGAAACACGCUACAUGCUACACGCCACAUGGCAUACGUGGUAGGAGUGCCGCUCCCACUCCUGGUUCUGGUUCUGUGUUUUGUGGCUUAAUUUCAUAUCGUUUACCUUGACAACAGGGCAUGGGUACAUCACCGCCAAGCACACACCAAAGAAGAAGGUGACUGGGAGACAACAUGAUGACGAUGAUGGGCAAUGACAGGGAACAGCGACACCACCAUGGACACGGCUCUGGCAAUGGCAGGCAAUGUCUGCUGACAGUCAGCUUUCGCCAUGCCAGAGAGCCCUGCCGGACCCCACGAUGUGAAGACUGACAUGAACAGGCCAUGGAGCGAUAGAGAGAGAUGAAGCUCUGGCAUCAGGGCCGGAUAUAAAAUAUGUUGAGCACUGUAAAGCGUGUCAGCACUAAGUUGCUUUUAUUUUUAAACAUAUUUCCAGCUAGCUUUAGCUACAGUCUGCUCUAUAAAUAUUACAUGUCGACUGAAUCAAGUUAAAAUUAAAUUUCCUAAGGCAAAAGUUGUCAACACCCGCACCCUCUAAUCUUUUUUGCAGUCCCUGUAAUUUAGUUUGCACUGUUUUUUUGCAUCUCUGCAGCUGGGGGACUACGACUAAUGACUUGGAAUUUGUUGCCCGCCAGCCAAAUGAGCAUGUGUGUGCUCUGGCCUGUCUCUCGGGCAGAUGUUGUCGCCAUUAACGCCUCGCACAGGCCAAAAAAUAGAGAAAGCAGCAACUUAAGUGCAACAGAAGCGUAAAAAUCAUUAAGCUCCAGCUGCUGCUGC